rnacentral:rRNA from 1 species
GCCAGCAGCCAUAUCGCCCUGCAGCCCAAGACUGGUUGCCCACUGAAGCUAAGCAGGGUUGAGCCUGGUCAGUACCUGGAUGGGAGACCUCCUGGGAAAACUAGGUUGCUGCUGGAA